UACGUAGGUGGCAAGCGUUGUCCGGAUUUAUUGGGUUUAAAGGGUGCGUAGGCGGCAUUUUAAGUCAGUGGUGAAAUACUUCAGCCUAACUGGAGAGGUGCCAUUGAUACUGGGAUGCUUGAGUACUGAUGAGGUAGGCGGAAUGGACGGUGUAGCGGUGAAAUGCUUAGAUAUCGUCCAGAACACCGAUAGCGAAGGCAGCUUACUAAGGAGUAACUGACGCUGAGGCACGAAAGUGUGGGGAUCAAACAGG
rnacentral:rRNA from 1 species